UGCAGCUGCAGCCCUAAAAAUACAAAACAAAAAACCAAGCAAAAAAAGAUUAAAAGAAUGAGUGAAAGACUCUGAAACCAGUUCAUAUCAUUCCCAUAUGGUAUAUGAUACUUUAAUAACUUCAAAGAGAACUGACUUAGCUAAUGUUUGGAGUAAAAUUUGAAUUUUAAGGCAAGGAAUUUAAACAUUAUAUAUAAUGACCUUAAUAGUGUGCAUUUUGUGACCUAUUAGGGCAACCUUAAAUUUUAGAUCCUGGUUUAAAUUACAGUUGUAAUAUUCUUCUCAGCAACUUCACUAUUUAGUCCAAAAGUUUAAAAUAUCUCAAGUAUAAAUGCAUUUUAAAAUUUAGAAUACUGCUUUUACCUCUAGGAAGCACUAUGAAGAACAAAUGAACUCGUGACUAACUUUACUAUUUCUUUUAUGAAAAUUACUUGAUUUUCAAUUUCAGGUUUAAUUCUUCAGUUUUGUUCUGUUUGGUUUCAGAAAGCACUGCAUUAAAUAUGUAUUAAUUCACGUGUGUCUGUGAGUGAGAGUUGGUUACAUAUAUGUGUGAUUCAUUACACAAUAUAACAUUUGCAUCCACUUUUUCCAGAGAUAAUUGUUAGUUUUAUGUCAACAUUCUAUGGUACCAAUUCUUGUACACAUGAGAUAUCUUUUUCUAAUUCUUUCAAGCAAGAAGUAAUUCCUUAGACUGAAGUGGGCUUCAAAUUGCUCCCAUGAUCACAACAUGAAGGCAAUAUUGGUCCCUGAAGGAAAGAUGAGUUGAUUAUAGAUCUAGAGCAUAGCUUUAAAAAAUUCUGUAGCCAGAGUACCACUUGUUCUAUAAAAACCUUGACCAUUUGGGAAGGAGCAAAAACCUCCCUGUCAAAUUAAUGUCAGUGUUUGGACACUUGACUUAAAGCAGGUACAUGAGAGGAAAAGGCCCUAGAAAUAAGAGCCCUGAAGCAAAAAUAGUAAUCCCUCCCAGACCAGAUCAAAGCCAUGAGAAUGAGGGUGCUGAAAAGCACCUUCAGAACAGUCUUUUGGCACAUUGCUCGAAGGCUAUUUUUUAAUGAAUGGAAAGGGAGACUCAUAACAACCUACUCUAUUCUAUAUAAUUAUAAUUCUAUAUAAUAGAAUGUAGAGAAAUAAGUAUGUGCCAUGAGUGUGGCCUAAAACUUUUACAUUCUUAUGAGAUAACCUUACAAUUCCAGACUACUAAAGUAAUUCUUAGUUUGUUUUAAUGAUUUUGAUAUCUUUCAUGUCAUGAUUCAUAAUCUUGGCUGAUGUUAUCUAUCUUCAAAGUCAUGUAAUUCAAAAAUGUACCUCCUGGAAAAGUAAUGUUUUACGUGUCAUACACUGCAAAUUACAUGCAUGAUUUUUUGUUUGUUUGUUUGUUUGUUUUUACUGAUUGCCAACAAGUCCCCAAGUCUCCCUUCAAUUCCCCAUCCCUCCUGGUGAGCCCAAACCAGAGAAAUUCGCACAAUCUAGAAAGUUAGGGGUAAUGCAGGCAUGAUAGAUUUGGUAUCUUUGCUGUACUCUGUCAAAUUGUCUUAGUACUAUUCCUGCUAAAACUCAUAAGAAAUUAAAAUGUGUAUCUUCUUUAUGAUUCUAAAAAUGCAUUUAAAAUAUAUAACUUUAUCAAAAUAUAUAUAGUAUAUGUUACAAUGUAGAACAGAGCAACUGAAUAGUUUCCCUAGACAUAUUAUUUUGAUACUACUUAGCCAUGCCAGUAUGUAAAAUAUUUUGAACAAUGGAAUAUUUAUCCUAAAGAAUGCAUCAUGUCAUAUGAUUAUUUACAAGGGAAUAUUUCCUCCUUGAUAAUCUAAAAUUUCCAUUGACCCUAGAUGGCAUUUGAUGAUCAUCAAAAACAUAUUUUGGGGAUUGCUACUAGUUAUCGGAAUUAUACAACUGGGCAGUAUAUGGAGUUUUCACUGUGGCACAGUGUGUUAUGGAUCCACGUUGUCUCUGAUGUGGAGCAGUUUGAUUCCUAGCUCAGCACAGUGGGUUAAGGAUCACGCACUUCCACAGCCAUGGUGUAGAUCGUAGCUGUGGCUCAGAUUCGAUCCCUGGUCCACAAACUUGCAUAUGCUGAAGGUAUGACAUAAAUAAAUAAAUAAAUAGGCCGUAUAAAAUAAUUUUGGCAAAAUAUUUAUUACUUGAAAAAUACUAAACCUUUACUACAUGUUUUCCCUGAAUAAUAGUGGCCAAAGCAAAUUAAAAUCUUAUUUUUUGGAGAGCGUUUUAUGCAGAAACUGCAUAAAUGCUGUGAUAAUGAAUCUAUUAGGGAGAGAUAAGCUAUUAUAUUAUUUUAGAAGAGUUAGAUUUUGGAAAGCUAAGAAAUUUUAUUUCAUCAGAUAACUGCACCCGUGUAAAUACAUGGAAUACUGUAUUCCCAAAUGUGAAUAUUUAGACUGCCUUGAAAGGAUUUGAAAUGAUCAGUGUGAAUCAAUCACACUGAAGGGCUUGAAGAGGUUAAUUAACUAUCACAAAUUGAUAUUAUCAGAAAGGGAUUCCUCCAGAAUCAUAGCUGUUUGGGACACUUUGGAUACUUAUUAUGGAAGUGCUUUUGCACUGAACUGAAAUCUGCCUCUUUGCUAUUCCCCCAAGGGCUCCAAAUUCUGCUCCAAGAUAAGUCUGCAACCUCUCAUACCUGGAGCUUUUUGAAGACUUGCUGGAUGCUGAAUGCUUUCUUUAAGAAUCUUUACAGCCAUGUUAAAUAAUACCAGUUUUUUCAAUUGUUCUUAAGAGGAAGUCUCUAGUCAUUUCAAAAUUCUAAUUAUCUACCUCCAGGUCAUAAAUAUUUUUGAAGUGGAAAUUCUGAAAAGAACAAAUUUUAUAUGUAGGCAUGUGACACAUUAUUGGAUUGUCUUGAGACUGUGGUUUAUUAAGACCCAGACAACUCUUAAAUUAUCGCAUGAUGAAGUACAUACUGGCUUGUAGCUGUUAAGAAUCUCAUUCACAUGUGUAACUCACUUGACCACUUUUCAAGUGUAAUUUAGUCGAUACUCUUGUUCUACCAACUACAAAAUUUCAAUAUUUUACAUAUAUUCUGUUGUUUUGAAGCCUGCCCACAAAAUUUCAGGAAAUACUUUUAAAAUUCCAUUUUAAAAUCAUUUGUUUAUAGGUACCUAUUGUCUACUCAAACAAUAUAUAUGAUAUGCCUAAUCUCUGUCAAGGACACGUCUAGGAAAAGCAAUGUCUGCCAAAAAGACACAUUUAGCUUUGGUCUCACCGAGGUGAACAUGGACAUGCCAGUGUAUCUCUGUGUGCUUCAUUUUCUUCAAAUGAGGAACGAGGCAGUUUGCUUAUUUGAAUAGAAAAGAAUGACCAAAUCUAAGUGCAUUUCUAGAGGUCAUAUUUUUCUCUCAUGAAUUUCCAUACCUAGGCCCAAACCUACUCCAGGGAAUUUUUUAAGGUUUGAAAUUUUAAAAAAUAAACUAUAGUUUUCAUUUCAUGUUAGUACAGUUUUCUUAUUUUAUAUUUUACAAAAUAUGAUGCUAAAAAUACAUGAGCAACAUAGUACAGCAAAUGUAAUUUUCAGAACCAAAUAUAAAAUGAUAUCCAAAUAUAUUGACAUCCAAUGAUAACAAGUUUGGAAAAAAAUGAGAAUUUAAAGUUCUAUUUAGACUUAAGAAACUUUGGUCGCAUGUUCUGAAAGAUCUGAUUUUAAUAUAAAGACUAUUGUGAUAUGACAUUCUUGGAAUACCCAAUUAUUAUUGCUGUUAAUUAGUUGAAAAUGAACAACUUCUGGAUAAAAGUGAAAGAAAUAAAACUUUAACUAUAAUGGAAAAUUAUAAUUAAAAUAUUAUUUUUAAAUCUUUACCUAUUUAUCUGAAACUUGCCAAAGACUCUCAGUAAAUGCUGGCCUCUAUUUAGAUAGCAUAUGCUAUUUUUUAGUGUAAUGAAAGAAUGUAAAUUAAAAUCAGGUUGUCAUGAGGAAUUUAAAAUUAUAAUCUAUGACAUAGAUAUUGAAACCCACAUUAGAAUUUAACAAGACUGGAUUUAUAGUGAAAGAUUACUUAUUUACACGAAUUAACAACUUGGGUGAGCUGGUUUGCAGAUUAUAUGGUCAGUUAAGUGACCACACACAACAGAAAAUAUCAUGG
rnacentral:lncRNA from 1 species